rnacentral:rRNA from 1 species
GACGAACGCUGGCGGCGUGCUUAACACAUGCAAGUCGAACGGAGAGGCCCUGCUUGCGGGGUACUCGAGUGGCGAACGGGUGUGUAACACGUGGGUGAUAUGCGCUGCUCUUUGGGAUAUGCCUGGGAGACAGGGUCUAAUACCGGAGAGGGGCCCUUUUUAUUGAUGUGGUUGGUUAGUUUUUUGGGGGUGGGGUGAGCGCGCGGCCUGUCUGCUAGUUGGUUGGGGUAUGGCCUGCCAAGGCAGCGACGGGUAGCCGGCCUGGAUGGGGGGACGGCCCAAUUGGGACCGGGGUGCGGCCCAGACUCCUACGGGGGGCAGCAGGGGGGAAUAUUGCAAAAAGGGCGCGAGCCUGGUGCAGCGACGCCGCGUGGGGGAAGACCGCCCUCGGGUUUUAAACCCCUUUCGCUAGGGACGAAGCUUUGUGUGACGGUACCUAGAAAAGAAGCACCGGCUAACUACGUG